GCGGCCUUAGCUCAGCUGGGAGAGCGUCAGACUGAAGUCUCAACUUCAAUCACCUGUUAUCUGAAGGUCGUGUGUUCGAUCCACACAGGCCGCA
rnacentral:tRNA from 1 species